UACGGGGGGGGCAAGCGUUGUUCGGAAUUACUGGGCGUAAAGGGCUCGUAGGCGGCCAACUAAGUCAGACGUGAAAUCCCUCGGCUUAACCGGGGAACUGCGUCUGAUACUGGAUGGCUUGAGUUUGGGAGAGGGAUGCGGAAUUCCAGGUGUAGCGGUGAAAUGCGCAGAUAUCGGGAGGAACACCAAUUGCGAAGGCAGCUUGCUGGGACGGUACUGACGCUGAGGCGCGAAAGCGUGGGGAGCAAACAGG
rnacentral:rRNA from 1 species